rnacentral:piRNA from 1 species
UCUGAUGGGAACAGAUGGGCACCC